rnacentral:rRNA from 1 species
GUGGGGAAUUUUGGACAAUGGGCGCAAGCCUGAUCCAGCCAUGCCGCGUGCAGGAUGAAGGCCUUCGGGUUGUAAACUGCUUUUGUACGGAACGAAAAGGUGCCUUCUAAUAAAGGGCGCUCAUGACGGUACCGUAAGAAUAAGCACCGGCUAACUACGUGCCAGCAGCCGCGGUAAUACGUAGGGUGCGAGCGUUAAUCGGAAUUACUGGGCGUAAAGCGUGCGCAGGCGGUUUUGUAAGACAGGCGUGAAAUCCCCGGGCUCAACCUGGGAAUGGCGCUUGUGACUGCAAAGCUGGAGUGCGGCAGAGGGGGAUGGAAUUCCGCGUGUAGCAGUGAAAUGCGUAGAUAUGCGGAGGAACACCGAUGGCGAAGGCAAUCCCCUGGGCCUGCACUGACGCUCAUGCACGAAAGCGUGGGGAGCAAACAGGAUUAGAAACCCGUGUAGUCC